UACGGGGGGAGCAAGCGUUGUUCGGAUUUACUGGGCGUAAAGGGCGCGUAGGCGGCCACCGCAAGUCGACUGUGAAAUCCCCGGGCUUAACCCGGAAAGGUCAGCCGAUACUGCGGGGCUAGAGUGCAGAAGGGGCAACUGGAAUUCUCGGUGUAGCGGUGAAAUGCGUAGAUAUCGAGAGGAACACCUGCGGCGAAGGCGGGUUGCUGGGCUGACACUGACGCUGAUGCGCGAAAGCUAGGGGAGCGAACGGG
rnacentral:rRNA from 1 species